AACGUAGGUGGCGAGCGUUAUCCGGAUUCAUUGGGCGUAAAGAGCUUGUAGGUGGCUAGAUAAGUUGGACGUGAAAACUCCGGGCUUAACUUGGAGAGGCCGUUCAAUACUGUCAGGCUGGAGGGUGUCAGAGGGAAGUAGAAUUCCUGGUGUAGCAGUGAAAUGCGUAGAUAUCGGGAGGAAUACCGAUGGCGAAGGCAGGUCUCUGGGCUGACACUGACGCUCAUGCACGAAAGCGUGGGGAGCAAACAGG
rnacentral:rRNA from 1 species